rnacentral:rRNA from 1 species
CCUACGGGUGGCUGCAGUGGGGAAUAUUGGACAAUGGGGGGAACCCUGAUCCAGCCAUGCCGCGUGUGUGAAGAAGGCCCUCGGGUUGUAAAGCACUUUCAGUGAGGAAGAACGCCUGGUGGUUAAUACCCAUCAGGAAAGACAUCACUCACAGAAGAAGCACCGGCUAACUCCGUGCCAGCAGCCGCGGUAAUACGGAGGGUGCGAGCGUUAAUCGGAAUUACUGGGCGUAAAGCGCGCGUAGGUGGCUUGAUAAGCCGGUUGUGAAAGCCCCGGGCUCAACCUGGGAACGGCAUCCGGAACUGUCAAGCUAGAGUGCAGGAGAGGAAGGUAGAAUUCCCGGUGUAGCGGUGAAAUGCGUAGAGAUCGGGAGGAAUACCAGUGGCGAAGGCGGCCUUCUGGACUGACACUGACACUGAGGUGCGAAAGCGUGGGUAGCAAACAGGAUUAGAUACCCCCUGUAGUC